rnacentral:rRNA from 1 species
AUUGAACGCUGGCGGCAUGCUUUACACAUGCAAGUCGAACGGUAACAGGCCUUCGGGUGCUGACGAGUGGCGCACGGGUGAGUAAUGCAUCGGAACGUGCCCAGAGGUGGGGGAUAACGCAGCGAAAGCUGUGCUAAUACCGCAUGUGAUCUGAGGAUGAAAGCGGGGGACCAAGCAGCAAUGUUUGGCCUCGCGCCUCUGGGGCGGCCGAUGUCAGAUUAGGUAGUUGGUGGGGUAAAGGCCUACCAAGCCGACGAUCUGUAGCUGGUCUGAGAGGACGACCAGCCACACUGGGACUGAGACACGGCCCAGACUCCUACGGGAGGCAGCAGUGGGGAAUUUUGGACAAUGGGCGCAAGCCUGAUCCAGCAAUGCCGCGUGCGGGAAGAAGGCCUUCGGGUUGUAAACCGCUUUUGUACGGAACGAAAAGGCUCUGGCUAAUACCUGGGGCUGAUGACGGUACCGUAAGAAUAAGCACCGGCUAACUACGUG